UGGAAGUGGGAACAAAAAUUAGGGAAGUUGUCUGUUAUUAACCAAGUCCUGGGCACUUGGGGCAGAUUGUUCCAGAAGUUAUUGUUUACCUUUCUGGAUUGUCUGUAGAGAUAACAAUCUGGUUUCCUGCAAGUCGGACUUAAUAGCAGGCUGGCUUCCUGGGUUGUUUGUUGGAGAUGAGGGGUUUGAUUUCCUGAGCACGUUGUGGAUUAGAGCCCUGUUUUUAUGUAUGGUCUGGCUAUUGGCUGAUAAGUCAUUCAGUCUCUCAACAAGUUCAUGAUUUCUUGGUGCCCGGGAGGCUGCUGCUACAGCUGUUGCUUUCUGGCCAGAAGGGAAAGUAUGUUCCUGGUAUGCUCUGAACCCAGGAUGUAUUUUUUAUAAAAAUCAUUCCCAGAUGAGGAUGAGACCAUAUUGGGACAUGGCAGAAAGGUGGCCAUCCAUCUGCAAGACAGGAGAGCCCUCAUGAAGAAUUGAAUCUGCUGGCACUUUGAUCUCAGACUUCCAGUCUCCAGACAAUGCAAACCAAAUAUUAGUUGUUAAAACCACCCAGUGUCUGGCAUUUUGUUACAGCAGCCAGACUGGCUAAGACACAUGGCUGUGGGGAGAUUCGGAGUGGCUUGGGUCCCCCGUCUGAGGCAGGCUCCAGGCCAGGGCUUGUGAGGGUCAGGCCUGGGAUGCUGGCUCCACGAUUUCUCCUGGUCCCAGGGUUGGACUGAAAGUGUGUUUGUGUCCAGGAGUGGUGCUCUAACCCCAAGGCCCCCAUCUGUAAUGGCCACUGAGACUUCUUGAGGCUUCUCCAAACAAAGAGGCUGCCCUUGGUUCUUCUGAGAUGAAGGACUCACCAGAUUGGGAACAGGAAACUUAGAGAAGUCCUCAACAUCCUUACAGGAAACCUUUCCGUUGUAUAUGGCACUGCGUGCUGUGGAGAGAGGCUUGUAGUAUUUGCUCUCAGGACGCCUGCUGCAGCACUGCCCCCACAUGUGAAACCCAGGAGCGUGGGGAUUUAAGCUUGUUUGUUCUUAAGCUGCUGAGGAACACCCUGUUUCAUAAUGAGUAGAGGCCGCCAACACAGGGCUCAUGGAUCUCCUUUGUUGAACCUAUUCCAACUCAGAGCUGUAAGAGCCCUUCUCAAAUGUAAAGAAACCCCUCUCCUCAUGUAACUGAAAUUUUAAGUACCACUCAGGUCUGGUUUCAACUCUGGCAAUAAAAUAAAAAUCUUUCUCACCAUCUCACAGAUUGAGUCUCCCUGGUGUACUUCAAAUUAGUGCAGUUAGCUGAACCCUCUAAUGUUUCUGGAUGUGAAGUGGAUGGGGUAAUUCAGCCUCGCAGCUCAAUAGCAUCCCACUUGCCAUCACCGGAUCACAGCUAUGGAAGGGUUUUGGUUUUCCUGGCUGCACAAGAAAGUUUGAUGACGACCAGAUAUGGAAAUAUAAGUCCCACCUAUUUGAGAGGUAAAACUGAUGAAGACAUAACAUACAGGUCUAUACAUUCUGAAGUCAUUGAUAGGAAAGAACUUGUUUACUCAAAUCUUCUAAUCCGCCCAUUUCAAAGAAAGUUGUGUGCAGCACAGUUGACACGUCUUCCAAACCAACAGAACUGAGAGUUUCAGGUUACCAGAAAGAAGUCAAGCAUCUGGCAUUUAAUGAAAGCACAUGUGGACUCAGAAAACGGGAAAGGGUGCAAGGGCAGAAACAAGACCUCACGGUAAUGACAUCACCUUCUAGGGUGACUCUGCUGGGCUUUCUGAGGGACACAAAAAAUAGUAAAGUAAUGGUGCAGUCCAGUUGGGGAGAUAAGAUGUAACUCAGGGGAAAACCAAACAGCAGUAAAGUGUUUGAGUGACAUUUUAAUGGAGAGCAAUGGAAGAGCCAUUUCAUGGGGAUCCUGGGCUAGUUGCCAAAGCCAUCCCAUCAGCAGUAAUUGCUCUGCUUUGGAAGGGGAUAGCAAUUACUCCAGGCUGUGAGGGUCAGAGACGUAGGGCUUGACCAAGGGAGUGAGUCGGAGCUUGACGCAGGCAGGGGAGGGGUCUUUCCUGGCAGGCUAAAUGGCAUGGGCAGAGGGCACAGAGGGGAAGUGAAUGUGUUCAGGAGAAGCAGAAAUUAUGUGGUAAUGUUCAGAAAAGCUCAGGCUUUUGGACUUCAUAUUUUACAAAUACUCUGAGAGAAACAGGAGAAAAAAAAUCCAUUCUAAAAGUCUGAUUGUAAUGACUGCUGACAAUUUUGGCUUUUUUACUGCAGACGUGUUUAAAUGCAUGCUUUUAAAUAAAACUUCAAAGAAAAUAUUGUGUAUCUGUACUGAGAUGAAAACUAUUAAAAACAUCAGAAUUUUAAAGGCCAAUUCUUUUACCAUUUUUGUGACAGGUCUUUUUUUAUCAGGUCUUUUGUAACAUAGAAAGAAAUUUUGCCUUAUCAAAAGUGGUUUGAAAUACCUCACAUGGGAAGGUUUCUCAAUGAGAAAACAAUCGUGUCAGUACACUCAUGUUUGUCUCAUUUCUGUACACUUUAACUUUCUAGAAUUAAAGCUUCUUGCUGAAGGAAUUUCCCAGAAACCUCCCCAGUCAUAAAACAGAACUUUGGAAUGCCACCUUCAUUUGGGAAAGCGGGUGGUUUUAGAUGCCGCGCUUUGUGGUAGUUUGCGAUGUGUCAAUGGGAGGGGAGCUUGGCUGCAUUUUAGUCACCGUGUACAGCUGGCUUCUAGCAGACAGGCCUCCUACAGGCCCACCUACAGAACCUGCUUGUCACCCAUACCCUAAGUCACUGUUCUUCCGCCAGGUGACUUUGCAAGUGAUUCACACAUAGCUUGUCAGCACACGAAGGGAGGAAUACAAAUGGCCCCUCAGGGCGGCUGUGACUGCCUUCCUGGUGGCCCCCAGCACUUCUGACCAUGCUGGUGUGGCACUGAGAUGACUCAGUGGUAUUCAGCUAUACUCAGAAAGCAUUUAGGCAAUUUUCCCAAAAGCUGAGCCUGGUUAGCUUCAGAACUCUGCCCUGGCCCUGGCCUUUUAGGAGGGCACAGAUCACUGUUUUACAAAGCCCAUUGAGAUGUAAGCCCACACCCAGAAAUUCAUGUUUGACUGCUGAAUGUGCCCCAUUGUGGCUUUGUAUAUGUCUUUGCUGCCAGUGGGUAUUCCGUAAAAGGCCUGUUUGUAUAAGCCGGUGGAAAAGGGUUUAAGUGUGACAGAGUUGCUGGGUUCUCGGGAAGUGAGGAUUGAAAAGCAAGGUUUUCAGGGCCCAACCAGGGGAGCCUGGAGACUCGACAAUCAGAAACCAUAGUCAAAGUUCUUGCCUGUAGUUUCUUCGCUCCCUCUGCCUCCUGAUGGGCAUCUCCGUAUGGCCUUUAUGGUGCGGUGCCCCUUCCUCUUGGGAACUAUGAAGAAAUGACAUUUAGAGACAUUGAUUUCCUUGCUCAGUAAUCGAAUAGAUGGAACCUGUGAGAGAAUUGUUGCCGCUGCUACUGAUGAUGGUCAAGAUAUUUAAAUCAAACGGCAUUUUAAGGUUUUAGCCCUUUAUUUCAUUACAACCAUCGUGACGAGGCACUGGCUGGAGUGGGCCCGACUGCUGUGAUGAGUUUGAGUUCGCGGCCAUUCUUGCAGAGAGGAUGGUGCUAGUACCUUGGCUUCUUGAGCCAAUUAUGUUUUUACUGGAACUGCAGUAACGAGCUUCUGUGCUACCUAUUAACUUCCUACAUGCUGAGAUGAGAAUAGCUUGAAGCUGUGGAAAAAUGCUGAUAUACUUAAAAUAAAGAACCAAAAUAGCCAUAUAAACAAACCUCAGGGAAGUUUAACCAAGAAAUUAUUGCCAAAUAAAUCUGCAGCCAGUCAAAAUGCUGAAUAUUUUAUUUUGAAAAGGAACUAUAUUUUUAGUGUCUGCCAUGCAUGUCAACACUCCACUUUUAUAAUAAGCUAAACUCUUCAUUAAAAAUCAAAGGCGGAAGUGACCUUUUUACAAACCCAAUUAGCCGCCCAUGCAUUAGUGGAAGCAGAAAUGCGCGUGACUGCUGGAUCACAAACACCAGGUUGGGACACGUGUAGUUCAUAACAAAGACGCAAAAGGGUCUACUGUCAGGUGGGAGCUCCAUCACAACUGUUGGCUUCUGUGGGCCCUUCCCACAAGAACAAAAGAUGAAAAAUAAAAGUAAACUCUGGUCGUGUUUCGCGGUAGUUCAGUAAUCUUUUCUUCUCUCCUUUCUCCUUUUGUGUUCAUUUUAUUGAGCUCACUGUUGUGAAGUGAAAGGCUGAAGAAACUAAUUUUAAGAGCAAUACGCAUCCAUCUUAGAUAAUUUGGAAAAUAAACUACUAAUCAAAAAUAAAAUAAAAAUUACCCAUUCCCCACCAUUCAGAAAUAUCACUGUUAACAUGUUGAUAUAUUGCCUUCUUCUUUUUAUGUGUUAUAGAUAAAUAAUUUAAAAUACAACUAGGAGGAUGCAUAUGAUUUUGUCUUUUUCCCUUAGCAUAUUAUAAACAUUUUUCUAUGUUAGUAAAUAGUCUUCAAAAAGAUAAUUUUUAAAGGCUGCAUAAUAGCCAACCACAUGCAUAGAACAUAAAUUUUUCAUUGGGAUUCCUAUUAAUAGACAUGCCGCUUCUUUUCAGUUAUAUUAAUACGUAUCUAUAAUGAAUACCUCUUUAUAACAUUUUGUGAACUUGUAUUAGUCUGUUUUCACACUGCUAAUAAAGACAUACCAGAGACUGGGUAUUUUAUAAAAGAAAGGUAUAACGGACUCACAGGUCCACAAGGCUGGGGAGGCCUCACAAUCAUGGCGGAAGACAAAGGAAGUGCAAAGGGACAUCUCACAUGCAUGGCAGAAGACAAGAGAGCCCGUGCAGGAAAACUCCCCUUUAUAGAACCAUCAGAUCUCGUGAGACUUAUUUACUAUCAUGAGAACAGCACAAGAAAGACUUGCCCUCAUGAUUCAAUUGCCUCCCACUGGGUCCCUCCCAUGACAUGUGGGAAUUAUAGGAGCCACGAUUCCAGAUUUGGGUGGGGACACAGCCAAACCGUGCCUGUACUGUUAUGACUGUUUCCUUAGUAUGCAUUCUAAGAAGUGAAAUUCCUAAGCCAAAGGGAUUAUGUGUAUGUUUUAGCUAAUAAGUUUCUUGUUAAAAAUAAAUUAUGCUUCUACAUAAAUAAAUAUUGAAAACUACUAUAAUAACUACUCCCCACAAUUUACUUUUCUUUUAAAGAUAAGCAUUAUCCCUUGAACCUCAGGAUCAUUAGUCCCAUCUCUUAUGGGUUCCUCCAUAUAAAACCAAACAUGAUACACAGAUUCCCUGACAUGGAUAAUUCGUCUCUCACCUCAUUGCCUGCCAGAAGGAAUAUGGGAGAAUUUGCUAAGGGAUUCGAAUGUAUACCCAAGAAAUGUUGCAAAUAUGUUUGGGGUGCCUGAAAAGGUCAAUCUCCAUCCUUAGACAAGUGUCUACAUAGACUUUGCUGAACCAUGGGGCUGGGCAUUUUACUUUUAUAACGGUUAGAUCAGGGGUAUCUGACUCUAUCUGAAGGACUCAGAAACCACAAAAGUUUGAUUUAAGUGGCUAAGAGACUGUUAUUCCAUAAAGGUGAUUUCUUCUAGAGGACUGAGCUGCAGCAGCAUUUUUGGGCCAUGAGGACUGGUGAGGAAGCAGAGGAGCCAGAGGCAAUCUGCAAAGGAAGCCAGAGGAGGGAGAAAAGGCACAGGAGGAAGCAGAGAGACCAUUGUGGUGGGAAGGGAGAGAAAAAUAGAGCAAGCGUUUAGUUACCAAAAGAUUUGAUUUCCUGUGUAUAAUCUUCAAAUUUCAUGAAAUGCUUCUCUCAUCUUGCAAUAAGUUCCCUUUUACUCAAGCUGACUGAAAUGUGAGCAAGUUAUCCUGACUCAAAUAAUGGGACUGAUGUUGAUCGAUCUUUCCACUGUGGCAAUCUCAGGCGCAUGCUCUUUGUUAUAUGGCUAGGAGCUGGUCAGUAUAUGUUUUUUUAAAACAAGAAUGUAUAAGUGCUGAAAGUACCUUAAUUUGAAAAUGUUAUUUUGUCUUCCCUGUAGAUAGGUCAUAUCGGUCAAACCACAUGCUGACAUGUGAAUUUGUUCCCACCAAAUGAGUCAGUUGAGAUUUUAAAAAGCAAAAACAAAAAACUCAAACACCUCCCAGUUGUUCUGGAGGAUAAGAAAAUGAGCUAGUUGGUCUUACUGGCUUGUACUAACAAAAAAUAACCCAAAAAACCUGGCUUCAGUAUAUUUAAAACAAUAACUUUAGUUGUUUCUGUUAUCCCAGCGGG